rnacentral:rRNA from 1 species
CGGGUGAGUAAUACAUCGGAACGUGUCUUCUAGUGGGGGAUAACUGCCCGAAACGGGCAGCUAAUACCGCAUGAGACCUGAGGGUGGAAAGCGGGGGAGUCGCAAGACCUCGCGCUGGAAGAGCGGCCGAUGUCCGAUUAGCUAGUUGGUGAGGUAAAGGCUCACCAAGGCGACGAUCGGUAGCUGGUCUGAGAGGACGACCAGCCACACUGGGACUGAGACACGGCCCAG